rnacentral:rRNA from 1 species
UAGGGAAUCUUCCACAAUGGACGAAAGUCUGAUGGAGCAACGCCGCGUGAGUGAAGAAGGGUUUCGGCUCGUAAACUACUGUUGUUAAAGAAGAACAUAUCUGAGAGUAACUGUUCAGGUAUUGACGGUAUUUAACCAGAAAGCCACGGCUAACUACGUGCCAG